CCUACGGGAGUCAGCAGUAGGGAAUCUUCCACAAUGGGCGAAAGCCUGAUGGAGCAACGCCGCGUGGGUGACGAAGGUCUUCGGAUCGUAAAACCCUGUUGUUAGAGAAGACCGUGCGUGAGAGUAACUGUUCACGUUUCGACGGUAUCUUACCAGAAAGCCACGUCUAACUACGUGCCAGCAGCCGCUGUAAUACGUAGGUGGCAAGCGUUAUCCGGAUUUAUUGGGCGUAAAGGGAACGCAGGCGGUCUUUUAAGUCUGAUGUGAAAGCCUUCGGCUUAACCGGAGUAGUGCAUUGGAAACUGGGAGACGUGAGUGCAGAAGAGGAGAGUGGAACUCAAUGUGUAGCGGUGAAAUGCGUAGAUAUAUGGAAGAACACCAGAGGCGAAAGCGGCUCUCUGGUCUGUAACUGACGCUGAGGUUCGAAAGCGUGGGUAGCAAACAGGAUCAGAUACCCUAGUAGUC
rnacentral:rRNA from 1 species